rnacentral:misc_RNA from 1 species
AAAAGGAGAACAAAUAUCGGUGCUAAAUCUUUACGUAGGCCUACCAAAUUUCAGUACCAUUAUUGCAGAGAUUGCUUCCUCACGAGUCAUUGCAUAGAUUUCUCACCAUUCAAAUCCAAGUUUGCCCUCCUCACCAAAAAUCCUAUGCACGAUUGUAGCUUCAGGAGCUAGCUGCAAAAGUGUCACAAUUAUGCAAAGUUUCAAGCAAGGAAUUUCACCAACCCACAGUUGCACCAAUAUAAUCCCGUAGACGACCCUCGAUAAGCCACACACCUACUACACUGAAUUCCCCCUCUCUGGCUCUUCAUCUUAAACCCCAAAUAGACACAGCAGACGAUGAUGCCACACUUCGGCGCCAACACCCGAACGUCUGCCUGGACCACUGGCUCCUUUCACGACCACCACAAAGCCACCACGCACAUGACCUUCUUCUGGGGCCACAAAACCAAAAUUCUUUUCAAGUGUUGGCCCGGUUCGAGCUCUGGCAUGUACGCUUUGGCGUUGAUCCUCGUCUUCACGCUCGCAUUGAUCGUGGAGUGGUUCAAAUAUUGCAGCAUCAUCAAGCCCGGGACAAAUAAGGUCGCUGCGGGUUUCUUUCGGACUGGGAUGCGCACGUUGCUUUCUGGACUUUCUUACAUGGUUAUGCUUGUGGUCAUGUCCUUUAACGGCGGCAUUUUUCUUGCUGCCGUCGGCGGGCACGCUGUUGGGUUCGUGUUUUUUGGUAAUCGGAUUUCUAAAAACUCCGAGAAGAAGCCAGAUCUCCCCUCCCAUUAACUUCAAGUGCUGAAUUUUGGCUGUGGCGAGUUUGAGUGCUAAAUCAUUCCUAAGCACUUGAAAUAUUAAAAAAAAAUCUUGUGUUUUCAAUUCAACAAGACUGGAAGUCACUAAUGUAUCUUUAUUUAAUUCAAUCUCAUAAAAUAUCAUACAUAACAUAGCUAUAUUUUCUGAUGAAAAGAAAAACUAACAAUAAACAUCAAUAAGAUAACAUAGGAUUUUGAAAUAUGUAUUGAACGAAU